rnacentral:rRNA from 1 species
GACGAACGCUGGCGGCGUGCUUAACACAUGCAAGUCGAACGGUAAGGCCCUUCGGGGUACACGAGUGGCGAACGGGUGAGUAACGCGUGAGUAACCUGCCCUUGACUCUGGGAUAGCAGAUGGAAACGUCUGCUAAUACCGGAUACUCAGCCUUGUGGGCAUCCACAAGGUUGGAAAGCUCCGGCGGUCAAGGUUGGACUCGCGUCCUAUCAGCUAGUUGGUGGGGUAAUGGCCUACCAAGGCGACGCCGGGUAGCCGGCCUGAGCGGGCGACCGGCCACAUUGGGACUGAGAUACGGCCCAGACUCCUACGGGAGGAAGCAGUGGGGAAUAUUGCACAAUGGGCGCAAGCCUGAUGCAGCAACGCCGCGUGCGGGAUGACGGCCUUCGGGUUGUAAACCGCUUUCAGCAGGGACGAAGCGCAAGUGACGGUACCUGCAGAAGAAGCACCGGCUAACUACGUGCCAGCCGCCGCCGUAAAAC